AGCCUAACGCCGUGCUCAGAUCGAAUUAUUCCUUCGCCUUUUACUAAAGAAUACCGUGCACAUAGUACACUUUCCGGCAUACGCCACUUUCUGGAAUGCCCCUCACAGGGCCU
rfam:Physcomitrella patens subsp. patens PHYPAscaffold_199 genomic scaffold, whole genome shotgun sequence.